CGCGGCCUAUCAGCUUGUUGGUGAGGUAACGGCUCACCAAGGCGACGACGGGUAGCCGGCCUGAGAGGGUGACCGGCCACACUGGGACUGAGACACGGCCCAGACUCCUACGGGAGGCAGCAGUGGGGAAUAUUGCACAAUGGGCGCAAGCCUGAUGCAGCAACGCCGCGUGAGGGACGACGGCCUUCGGGUUGUAAACCUCUUUUAGUAGGGAAGAAGCGAAAGUGACGGUACCUGCAGAAAAAGCACCGGCUAACUACGUGCCAGCAGCCGCGGUAAUACGUAGGGUGCAAGCGUUGUCCGGAAUUAUUGGGCGUAAAGAGCUCGUAGGCGGUCCGUCGCGUCUGCUGUGAAAACCAGAGGCUCAACCUCUGGCCUGCAGUGGGUACGGGCGGACUAGAGUGCGGUAGGGGAGAUUGGAACUCCUGGUGUAGCGGUGGAAUGCGCAGAUAUCAGGAAGAACACCGAUGGCGAAGGCAGAUCUCUGGGCCGUAACUGACGCUGAGGAGCGAAAGCAUGGGGAGCGAACAGGAUUAGAUACCCUGGUAGUCCAUGCCGUAAACGUUGGGAACUAGAUGUGGGGACCAUUCCACGGUCUCCGUGUCGCAGCUAACGCAUUAAGUUCCCCGCCUGGGGAGUACGGA
rnacentral:rRNA from 1 species